AGAGUUUGAUCCUGGCUCAGGAUUAACGCUGGCGGCGUGCCUAAUACAUGCAAGUCGAACGGAAGUACCUUCGGGUACUUUAGUGGCAACGGGUGAGUAAUACAUAGGUAACCUACCCUUAAGACGAGGAUAGCCAUUGGAAACGAUGGAUAAAACUGGAUAGGAUAUAGAGGAAGAAUCUUUUAUAUUUAAAAGAGAGAUCUGCUUAAGGAGGGGCCUGUGGCGCAUUAGCUAGUUGGUGGGGUAAGGGCCUACCAAGGCGAUGAUGCGUAGCCGGACUGAGAGGUUGAACGGCCACAAUGGGAACUGAGAACGGUCCAUACUCCUACGGGAGGCAGCAGUAGGGAAUUUUCGGCAAUGGGGGGAACCCUGACCGAGCAACGCCGCGUGAACGAAGAAGUUAUUCGUAAUGUAAAGUUCUUUUAUCAGGGAAGAAAGAGGAAUUUGACGGUACCUGAGGAAUAAGCUCCGGCUAACUACGUG
rnacentral:rRNA from 1 species